GGUCCUUCUCCCUCACCUACAGUAAGACACUAUUAAUAACUACAACCAGGUCCUUCUCCCUCACCUACAGUAAGACACUAUUAAUAACUACAACCAGGUCCUUCUCCCUCACCUACAGUAAGACACUAUUAGUAACUACAACCAGGUCCUUCUCCCUCACCUACAGUAAGACAGUAUUAAUAACUACAACCAGGUCCUUCUCCCUCACCUACAGUAAGACAGUAUUAAUAAAUACAACCAGGUCCUUCUCCCUCACCUACAGUAAGACACUAUUAAUAACUACAACCAGGUCCUUCUCCCUCACCUACAGUAAGACACUAUUAAUAACUGCAACCAGGUCCUUCUCCCUCACCUACAGUAAGACACUAUUAAUAACUACAACCAGGUCCUUCUCCCUCACCUACAGUAAGACACUAUUAAUAACUACAACCAGGUCCUUCUCCCUCACCUACAGUAAGACACUAUUAAUAACUACAACCAGGUCCUUCUCCCUCACCUACAGUAAGACAGUAUUAAUAACUACAACCAGGUCCUUCUCCCUCACCUACAGUAAGACACUAUUAAUAACUACAACCAGGUCCUUCUCCCUCACCU